ACGCUCAGGAUACGAAACGGUUCCCCGGUCCGAAGGCCCGGACGGAUACCCUGGCGUGGUGCCUCCCCGACCGCGGGGAGCGCAAAGCCGACAGCCGUCGCACCCAGGGAGAAGCCCCAUG
rnacentral:sRNA from 1 species